rnacentral:lncRNA from 1 species
GGUUUUAAUGGGAAAUUUACUUAAUCUGGGUCUUGUAUAAAGCAGCAGCCACCAAACAUAUCCUAAAAUAUGUUCAGAUAUCCUAAAAGCAAAGAGUCAGAUCAUGAUCCCACCUAGGCUGAGAGUGUACAUGUAUUAAAUAUAUUUCUGUAUGGACUUUUCACACAUGGAGGAAGAGCAGCUACCAGAUCUGUGAUACCCCAUGGGUGAGGUUCAGCACCUAACAGCACAUCAUCUCUUUGGAAGACAGACACCCUCUCAGGAGAAGGAAAGAAAUGGUGUGGUCCUUUAUGGAAGCUUGGAGUACCAAGAAGGUCAGUGUACUGAAGGAUUUCCUGCGUGUUGCACAUGAUCCAUUCCAAGAUAGACAAAAUAGUUACUUGUAUGAAUUAACAGGAUGUUUUUUAUUUCCAUAGUAUCCAUGCUUUUAUGCUCUUGGAAGAAACACACACUUCCUUAGUAGACUUAAGUACUGAAGCACACUAGCAGGGGUGAAAUGAAAUAUGUUUGAAAAACUUGACCUAAUAGAAAGCAG